GAUGAACGCUGGCGGCAGGCCUAACACAUGCAAGUCGAACGCUGUAGCAAUACAGAGUGGCAGACGGGUGAGUAACACGUGGGAAUCUUCCUAUCGGUACGGAAUAGCUCAGGGAAACUUGGGGUAAUACCGCAUACGCCCUUCGGGGGAAAGAUUUAUCGCCGAUAGAUGAGCCCGCGUCUGAUUAGCUAGUUGGUGAGGUAAUGGCUCACCAAGGCGACGAUCAGUAGCUGGUCUGAGAGGAUGACCAGCCACACUGGGACUGAGACACGGCCCAGACUCCUACGGGAGGCAGCAGUGGGGAAUAUUGGACAAUGGGCGCAAGCCUGAUCCAGCCAUGCCGCGUGAGUGACGAAGGUCUUCGGAUUGUAAAGCUCUUUUGGCGGGGACGAUAAUGACGGUACCCGCAGAAUAAGCCCCGGCUAACUUCGUGCCAGCAGCCGCCGUAA
rnacentral:rRNA from 1 species